GGUUUUUAUUUGUUUGUUUUUAGCUAUUCUCAGGACUCAUCCUUAAAGCUAUGUCUGUAGCUAGAAUGAAACGAAUACUGGACAGAAAGUCAGUAUUCUCUCCUACACUGCUGAAAUCCUCAUGCCUAACCCCUAAAAUGUGGCGUUAAUGAAGAAUUGAAUGCAGUCUCUCAGGCACCAUACUGGCUGGUUUUGUGUGUCAACUUGACACAAG
rnacentral:lncRNA from 1 species